GUACGAUCCUGUCUUCGACUUUCCUCCCAGCCUUCGUGCAGUUUGUGAAAAAUAAAAUAAAAUCUUCAUCCGUAACAAUUGGGCGAAAGUGGAUAGAACUUGGGUUCGAAUAAAUGUUGACCUGCAGUCAGGUGUUAACAGUAUUCAAAUUUUUUUAUGAUGCAAUUACCAAGUUUUUGUUUUGCUAUUCAAAAAAAUCAUCCAAAGAAUCUGCUAACUGUGAAAGGUCGCCUAUGAAAGAAUCCAGUCUCCUCAUAACGCUGGCACACUCUUCGAACCGCUGCGUGGGUCAUAUCCAAUUGUCAAGCAGCAACUCGCUGACCAAGUCCAUUUUCGAUUAAAGCAAUAACUUGGACAGCUUUUUAUGGCGUAGUAUGCAUGAAACUAACACACUUUAACACUAUUGAGAUGAUACAAAAAAAUUAUAUAAAUUGUAAUAGAAAUUUAAUUAAAUUAAUAAUGAAAAAA